CAGACUUUGGAGCACUUCAUAUUCUGGAUUCUGAGGUUGAUGAGUGUUCAACCUGUAGUGUAUUUCUAACUAUUAAUAUUUUGUUAGCUGGUUUUCCAAAGUAUUGUUACAAGUUUACAUCAGAUUAAACCAAUAAGUGAAGGUUUUGACUUAACGGUAUCCUUUUGGCAAUUUCUAACGCAUUUAUUUCUAUUUAGGAUGCAUUACGAGCCCACAAAAGGUCAAGAGAUACGAGAAGUCACUUUGAAAUCACAGAAUACAGCAGAAGUGCAUCAGCUUCCAGAUGUACCCAAGCACGUCCUUAAGCU
rnacentral:lncRNA from 1 species